rnacentral:rRNA from 1 species
CGAGUCGACGAAUCGAAAGCUUGCUUUCUGAUUCGUUACGGUGGACGCGGUGAGUAACACGUGGGCACUGCUGUAGACGGGGAUAACACGAGAAUCGGUGCUAAUACCGGAUAACACGAAUGUCGCAUGACGUUUCGUUGAAGACGGCGUACGUGUCGCUACAGGAUGGGCCGCGCGCAUUAGCUCAGUUGGUGAGUAACGGUCACCAAGGCGACGAUGCGUAGCCGACCUGAGAGGGUGAUCGGCCACACUGGGACUGAGACACGGCCCAGAAUCCUAACGGAGCAGCAGUAGGGAUCUUCCGCCAUGACGAAAGUCUGAAGGAGCAACGCCCGCUUGACGCAAGAAGGCCUUCGGUCGUAAGCCUCUGUUGUUAGGAGCACACGUAACCAGUAAUUGGGUUACCUGAGGGGACCUACAGAAAGCACCCGGUAAUAAUGCCGCACGCCGGGGAUACCUAGUGGCACGCUGCUCCGAUAAUGGGGUAAGCCCCCGGGGUCCUUAUGAUUGCUGGAAGCCACCGUCCCCACGGAGUCCCGCUACCCGCUUUCUCCACGCCACAAACGUCCAUUCCGGCGCCCUGACGCCUCACGGGUAUAAGCCCAUCUUUGUUGCUCUAAGCUGUACCGACCUCUCCGUUCGACUUCAAACCACAUCGCUCGUACUGAUGUACUAAUAAG